UGGGGAAUAUUGGACAAUGGGCGAAAGCCUGAUCCAGCCAUGCCGCGUGUGUGAAGAAGGUCUUCGGAUUGUAAAGCACUUUAAGUUGGGAGGAAGGGCAUUAACCUAAUACGUUAGUGUUUUGACGUUACCGACAGAAUAAGCACCGGCUAACUCUGUGCCAGCAGCCGCGGUAAUACAGAGGGUGCAAGCGUUAAUCGGAAUUACUGGGCGUAAAGCGCGCGUAGGUGGUUUGUUAAGUUGGAUGUGAAAUCCCCGGGCUCAACCUGGGAACUGCAUUCAAAACUGACUGACUAGAGUAUGGUAGAGGGUGGUGGAAUUUCCUGUGUAGCGGUGAAAUGCGUAGAUAUAGGAAGGAACACCAGUGGCGAAGGCGACCACCUGG
rnacentral:rRNA from 1 species